rnacentral:rRNA from 1 species
GAUGAACGCUGGCGGCGUGCCUAAUACAUGCAAGUCGAGUGAACAGACGAGGAGCUUGCUCCUCUGACGUUAGCGGCGGACGGGUGAGUAACACGUGGAUAACCUACCUAUAAGACUGGGAUAACUUCGGGAAACCGGAGCUAAUACCGGAUAAUAUAUUGAACCGCAUGGUUCAAUAGUGAAAGACGGUUUUGCUGUCACUUAUAGAUGGAUCCGCGCCGCAUUAGCUAGUUGGUAAGGUAACGGCUUACCAAGGCAACGAUGCGUAGCCGACCUGAGAGUGUGAUCGGCCACACUGGAACUGAGACACGGUCCAGACUCCUACGGGAGGCAGCAGUAGGGAAUCUUCCGCAAAGGGCGAAAGCUUGACGGAGCAACGCCGCGUGAGUGAUGAAGGUCUUCGGAUCGUAAAACUCUGUUAUUAGGGAAGAACAAAUGUGUAAGUAACUAUGCACGUCUUGACGGUACCUAAUCAGAAAGCCACGGCUAACUACGUG